UCUAGCAGAAGAGGAGCACUGCCCAGGCAGAUGUUUUGUGGAGCCUCAACUCCAAUACAGAACAUUCAGGGGGAGUAGUGCCGAGGUGAAUCAAAGUUGUGGCUUUGGUUUAUCGGUUGAACGGGCUGAAUCCCUUCAACUGUCAUCAGCUCGAAUCUGAUGAAGAGCUUCUGAGGGA
rfam:Vibrio cholerae O1 biovar eltor str. N16961 chromosome I, complete sequence.